AUUGAACGCUGGCGGCAGGCUUAACACAUGCAAGUCGAGCGGUAGCACAAGAGAGCUUGCUCUCUGGGUGACGAGCGGCGGACGGGUGAGUAAUGUCUGGGAAACUGCCUGAUGGAGGGGGAUAACUACUGGAAACGGUAGCUAAUACCGCAUAACGUCGCAAGACCAAAGAGGGGGACCUUCGGGCCUCUUGCCAUCAGAUGUGCCCAGAUGGGAUUAGCUAGUAGGUGGGGUAAUGGCUCACCUAGGCGACGAUCCCUAGCUGGUCUGAGAGGAUGACCAGCCACACUGGAACUGAGACACGGUCCAGACUCCUACGGGAGGCAGCAGUGGGGAAUAUUGCACAAUGGGCGCAAGCCUGAUGCAGCCAUGCCGCGUGUGUGAAGAAGGCCUUCGGGUUGUAAAGCACUUUCAGCGAGGAGGAAGGUGGUGAGCUUAAUACGCUCAUCAAUUGACGUUACUCGCAGAAGAAGCACCGGCUAACUCCGUGCCAGCCGCCGCCGUAACAC
rnacentral:rRNA from 1 species